UAUGAUUAAGAAGAAAUAACUCUUAUAUAUAGAUUUACAAUCUAU
rnacentral:tRNA from 1 species